rnacentral:rRNA from 1 species
AGGUAGUAAUUUAAUAUAAACCUAUAUAUUUUGGCGGCAUUAAAUAAAUUAGAGGAACUUGUUUUUUAAUCGACACUACACGAUAAAUUUUACUUAAAUCAAAAAUUUAUAUACCGCCAUCCGAGAAUUAAUUUAUAAAUUAAUUCCAAAUAAUAUAUAAAAUAUAGGUCAAGGUGUAAUUUAUAUUUAAGCAAAAAUGAGUUACAUAUAAAAUUAAAUUUAAGAAAUUUAAUAUAAAAUUAUCAAAAGAAAAAGGAUUUAUAAGUAAUAUAAAAACAUAAAUUUUUUAUGAAUUAUCCUACAUGUGC